UGAGGAAUCUUGCGCAAUGGGGGAAACCCUGACGCAGCAACGCCGCGUGAGUGAGGAAGGCCUUCGGGUCGUAAAGCUCUGUCUGGUGGGAAGAAAUGCAUAACGGCCAAUACCCGUUAUGCUUGACGGUACCGCCGAAGGAAGCACCGGCUAACUCCGUGCCAGCAGCCGCGGUAAUACGGGGGGUGCAAGCGUUGUUCGGAAUUAUUGGGCGUAAAGAGCGUGUAGGCGGCUGGAUAAGUCAGAUGUGAAAGCCCUGGGCUUAACCCAGAAAGUGCAUUUGAUACUGUCCGGCUUGAGUAGGGGAGAGGGAAGUGGAAUUCCUGGUGUAGAGGUGAAAUUCGUAGAUAUCAGGAGGAACACCGGUGGCGAAGGCGACUUCCUGGCCCUAUACUGACGCUGAGACGCGAGAGCGUGGGGAGCAAACAG
rnacentral:rRNA from 1 species